UGGCAUUGCAAAAGAUAAAGAUGGCAUGGACAAUAACAAUAUCUAAAUGGCUCAUAAGAAAUGCGCCAAACAAAAUCAUCACUCUAAUAACACAAAAGGCAAGCAAAGAUGCUAAGUAGUCAACACGAUUGAGAAGAAAAACGAAAUAUAAACUAAAUUAUUAUAAUUUCUACAAUCGAUUGCAUCCGUUCCAUCUAUUGGCGCUCAAUCUGAAUGGUCACAUGACUAAUAUUGUAUUCUCUCCUAAUGUAGUCUAUGACCUUGUCUAGUACCAUGUCAGCAUCUGCUUCAGGCUUGAUCUUCACAUGACAAGCCAAUAAAACUUUCCCAACUGUUAUGGCCCAGAUGUGCAGCUCAUGAAUGGCAACCACCUCAUCCAUCUCACAAAGACCCUUCUCAAGCCUAGUGGCAUCAAUCUCUCUUGGUGUACUCUCCAUCAGAACCUCUAAAAUAUUCCGCAACAUCCUGAUUGUUGUGCCUAAUACAAUUACUGAGAAUACAAGUGUACAUAUCAGAUCAAUAAUCUUCCAUUUUGGUUUAUACCAAAUUAUUGCCCCGCCAAUCAUCACCCCAACACUCUGUAUGGAAUCCCCCAACACAUGAAGAUAAGCUCCUUGCACAUUGAUGUUCCGUUGUUUAUUCUGUUUAGGUCCAUCUUUCAUUUUAGCUUCACCUCCUGAGUAAGUCCUAAGCAGAGGCUCAGAUUGAUCUGAUUCUUGUGUAUGAUAAUGCUGAUCAUUGUCCUGUGAGCUUCCCAAAUGAUGAUGAUGAUGGUGUUGAUUUGUAGCUAUGCUUAUCCCAUGGCUAUGUCCAUGAACAUGAUCCUCAUGGCUGUGGCCAUGCUCAUCCACACCAUGUCCAUGGUGGUGACCAUGCUCAUGACCCAAUAAGAGUGCCAUGGCAAUAUUAACCACCAAACCAAAUGCAGAAACAACAAACAUAAGAAAGCCCUGAACUUCACCAGUAUCAUAGAUCAGUCUAGCAAUGGCUUCAUACACAAGGAUCCCGGCAAGAAGCCAUAUCAUCUGGAUGGAAAUCAGUGCACCAAGUAUUUCAAUCCUAAAAAAACCAUAAGACUGACGUGGGGUUGCCUCCCAUCCUGAUGCCCAAAGUGAAAACAAGGAGAUUGCAAAGGCUGCAACAUCUGAUAACAAAUGAGCUGCAUCUGUCAAGAUGGCAAGACUAUUGGCUUUGAUUCCUCCAACAACUUCUACGCUCAUGAAGACAAUACAAAGUACAACUGCCAUCAAAAGCUUCCGCAUCGAUGCUGACCGUUCUUUCGCAUCUUUAGAACUGGUUCCAGCAUCUGAAAAUCCACAUGCUGCUCCUCCACAAAUCUUACUCCCACCCAAAUUUAUUUCCGUAGUCGGUAGAUCUCCAUGGACCUCAAUCAUCUGUGCAGAUUCAUAAUUUUGCGCUUCCAUCUUGUGAAGAGGAUUAUGGCCGUUGAGUAAUGUUGUUGAAGAUGUUGAAGGAGAUUUAUACAGAAGAAUUGAAAAUAUUGGGGUAUGAAUCGUGACUAAUAUAUGGAAAGAGCCAACUAUUAACAAACCUCCAUCGGAUUUGUUUCCUCCUUUAGAAUGUAGAUGUUUUUCCGCUGGGAUUUCGACUCUUAUGCUCAAUUUUGAAUUUUGUUUUUAGUUAAUUAUUGUCAAUUAUAGGAUUCUCGCUUUUACGUUUCUACCCUUUCUCUUUUUUGUCGCCAGACGCAGA
rnacentral:misc_RNA from 1 species